rnacentral:misc_RNA from 1 species
UUUAAUGCUAAUGAGCUGGUCAAAAAUUCUCACUUGAAUUAGUGGUCUGCACCCCUAGCUUGACCUAUGCAUGGUAGCUGCGAAGGAACGUAAAAGUGUUUUGACCAGUGGACUCGUGAAUAUUUGUGCGAUGUCAGGAAUUUAUUCACGACUCAUUUUGAAUAUUUGUGAGACGUUACGUUAUGAAUUUUUUUGUGACGUCAUAAAUAUUUUUUUGCAAUGUCAUGAAUGUUAUUCAUGACCAGUCAUGUGUUUUGUUGCAAAUAAUUUCCAUGACCUGAGAGGUUCAACAAUGUGUCCUAGUGUCCUACAUGUACAUCUUCAUACAGUGCAGCUCGACCAGGAUGGAAACAUCAGUGUGCGACUACAACAUAAUUGACUUAAAAGACAUUUCAUUUGAUGCUGAAAUAAGUACGACUGGAAGCAGAAAUAAAGUGUACCGGGCAACCUGGCAAAAGUCAAGAAAACAAAAAGUUGCUGCAAAAUGCUGCCAGCGCUUCCAUGAGGAAGAAGUGUUGAUUCUGGCAAGAAUGAACCAUGACAAUAUUAUCAAGUUCUUGGGAGUUGUGAAGCCCACUUCAGUACUGGAGAAUUACUUCAUCGUAACAGAAUAUGCGGAGGGAGGUUCUUUGUACGAUGUGAUUAGUCAACAUCGUGAAGACUGGCCAGAGUUUAGGCAGAGUCGUUGGAUGAGAUGGGCCCAGGAUGGGGCUAAGGCUCUACAGUACAUUCAUGAAAAGAAGUACCAACAUGGGGACGUCAAGUCACCCAACUUUCUGGUUACCAGUGAUGAAACAUUGAAGAUCUGUGACUUUGGCAUAUCCAGGCAGUGUGACUACACCGUCAGCACAGUCACAAACAGGGGAUCCUCACCAUGGAUGGCGCCAGAAGCCUUUGGCGAUGUGAUGUAUGAUUCAUCUAGCACAAGAAAACCAUGCAAGGUCACAACAAAAUCAGAUGUUUAUUCCUUUGGUGUUGUGAUGUGGGAACUGAUUUCUGGUGAGGCCCCCUAUUCUAAUAAAAUGCCGAUGCAGAUUCUCACAGCUGUAGUUAUCAACAAAGACCGCUUGGAGAUUCCACAUGAUUCCCCAGAACACCAGCAAAUGAGUGAUCUUCUAAAUAAAUGCUGGCAAGCUGACUACACACAAAGACCAAGUAUCCAAGAAGUCCUUCAAAGCCUCAUUGACAUUGACAAUGGCUGCAAGAAAAUACUGGGGAAGAGAACACCAGAUACUGAGGAAAAUGAUUCCGCACAACCACCAUCAAAGAAGGUAACCACAGGUAUUCUACAGCAGCAACAACCGAUCAUGCCUUUUUCAGUACUACUAAACAAGCAGCACUUAAAGGUUGAGAGUCCAUGGUCAAUGAGGGAGAACACUGAGCUGAUCCCCCUAUCAAAGCUUUGUCGCAUUGCAACCCUUAUCCAGCACCACUGGAAGGUGAUAGCUUGCCAUGUCCAAGAGGAGGAGACGUUGGAAGUGGAUCUCAAAGCCAUCAGAGAGAACCAUGUCAAACCAGCCAAAGAGGCUCUACAGAUGCUGUUUCAGUGGAGGGAAAGAUGGCCCAAUGUGAUGUGCACCUGGGGGAGGUUAUAUAAUGCUCUGUUUGAUUUGAACCUUGAGACGAUAGCUGAGAAAUGCAACCAGGUGCAUAUGACUUACAAGCAUGAAGGGUCCCCCCAGCUACAAGAAAAAGUCAAGUUGUUGAGUGGAGAAGAACCGGCUUUUAUUCCAGUUGGCACUAAUGUACUAGCCAAGUACAGAGGCACUUUCUGUGACGCCAACGUGAUAAACAUCAAGAAGUCAGUGAGGUGCAUGAUCAGCUUCCUCAGUGACUUUGCUGACACAGUGGUUUCUGAUGAUCAUAUCAGGGGGUACCUUAAGGUUGGAGCAGUGGUUGAGGCCAGACAUCCAGUGACAGACGAGUGGAUGGAUGGUAUGAUCACGAAGCUGACUGAUGCCAGUAUGUACACUGUCGACCAGAGUCUUCCAUGACUGUCCACUCAGGCUUUCCGCUGGCAACAUCAGGGCCACCUACAAAGUGACCGUUGCUACCUUGGCCUGGAUGACCACCCUUGACCUGAAGACUGUAGUCUUUGCAUGCCAUACUGUAUGACGAUGGAGACGAGAAGACAUUAGGGAGGUCAUCGCUGCGUUUGCAUGACAGGCAACUUAUCAAUGAGCAUGAGGUG